UCACUUUGAGCACUUCACUGUGUUCGUGCAAUGAAACUCAUGUGUGUCCCUCACCACAGACCAGUCACGCCAAAUCUGAAGCGCAGAUUGAUAGUCGCAGAAGGUUUCAUCUCGCAUCAAUCCAUCCAGCAUUGGAUUACGUGUUAAAUCCUCUGCACUGGGAUUCAGUUUUGUUCCUCAGAAGAUGCUCGCUUGUGGAUCGCAGAUUGGGGACUUUCGCGGAAUUAAACGAGCUAAAGGCUGUGUGGUGAUAGCUGAAGCCUUCCUAUGAGGUGAGCAUAUCGGUGUGGACCCCCAUCUCCCCUCCCAGUGCCAGCAGCAGCAGCAGCAGCAGCAGCAGGACUAAGGGAUGUCACAAGUAUUCCUCCUUCUGACCCUGCUCUGUUUCUCCUCCUGCAUCCAGCCAUCAGACCAAAGCCAAAAAUGAAUGAUCUGGACAAAUGGCGCUCUGUAACUCCAUCAAGACGUGGGCCAUGGCUCGUAUAAUCGGGACUGCCCUGAUUUUAUCUGGACAUCUC